rnacentral:lncRNA from 1 species
GGGUGGGGCCUCACGGGGAUGGGGAAACACCAGGGCGGGUCACAGGGUUGGGGAGGGGAAACAUGGGCACAGCCUUCGCUGUGGUUUCCGAGGGAAGGAACAAGGAACGGCUGAGGCAGAGUCAGCAGGCUUAGGACGGGCUGGUUUGCAUCAGUCAGCGAGGGGGGCGGGGGGCACAGGGGCUGUCCCUGGUUGUCUGGCCCCUGGCCCCAGGGUGGUUAGGGUGGGGGAUGGUGGCCUGGAGUGCUGGGGGUGUGGGUCUGCAUGAGCGGGUUUGCACACAGAGGCAGCUUGUGGGCCAAGUUCUUUACUAUCUCGAGGAAUCUGCCGGCCCUGGGAGGGGCCGUCCCAUCAGGGUCAGCGGGCCCCAGAUGUCAGAGCAUCAGCUACAGAAACAGAGAACGUGCUUAUUAUCUGCAGUGUGGGGCUGGGAGCAGGAGACGGGGGUGAUCAGAGAGGCUGAGUCCUCUGCUUGUUCUGGUUAGAGGUUGGCCAGCGUAGCAUUUCCAGGUGGUCCCGCCGAUCCCAAGUGUCCACAUCUUGGAAGGUCUCCACCCCCUGUCGCUGUGGCCCCACAGGGCACUUAGGAAGGACACAGCUGGAGCUCAUCUGGCUCAGUCCUGUCCCCUGGAAGGUCCUCGGGGCAUCUUAGCUGAGGAGGAUCUUGAUGGGAGGAGUCAGGCCCUGGCCAACCGGCCUAGGAUAUGAGGAAGAUGCAGUAAACCCACCUCGGGGUGGCUCGGAUACCGCUGGGCAUCCCCAGACGUGGUGUCCAGAAGCCUGUAGGCUAGGGUCCUGCCACGGGGUCUCCCUGAUCCCUCUGGCCUCCUCACUGAUGGCUGACCCCUCCAUUCUCACGCCAACCGCCCAGCCUCUCACUAGCGCCGGCCGUACUGGACCAGUCCUGAGAGCCCAGGACUGGAGACGCCUGGGGCUGGAAGGGGCCGGGAUCUCUCCAGCAGGUUUCAGACAGUGAACUGUCCCAUGCCAUCGCCGUGUCCCUCUGACAGCAGGUUUCUGAAAGACAGAUGGCAAAGGUGGAAGCUCUCCGUGGCCAGGCUGCCAUCAGACGCCAUGGGUGUGAAUCCUGGCUUUGCCUCCCUCCUCAGCUGCAGGCAAGUUUCUGGGCCUCUCUGAGCCUCCGUGUCCUCACGUGGGGAAGCGAA